rnacentral:rRNA from 1 species
AUAAUGCAUAUGGUGAAUGCCUUGACUCAUACUAGCGAUGAAGGGCGUAGCAGUCUGCGAUAAGCUUCGGGGAGGUGACUAGCAACCUUUGAUCCGGAGAUUUCCGAAUGGGAUAACCCUCCCCGCCUCGGCGGGGAAACAUUAUCUGAAUUCAUAGGAUAAUGUGGCAUACCCGGCGAACUGAAACAUCUUAUUAGCCGGAGGAAAAGAAAUCAAUUGAGAUUCCCCAAGUAGUGGCGAGCGAACGGGGAAUAGUCUAAACCAUCUCGAUUUAUCGAGAUGGG